rnacentral:rRNA from 1 species
UACGUAGGGCGCAAGCGUUAUCCGGAAUUAUUGGGCGUAAAGAGCUCGUAGGCGGUUUGUCGCGUCUGCCGUGAAAGUCCGGGGCUCAACUCCGGAUCUGCGGUGGGUACGGGCAGACUAGAGUGCAGUAGGGGAGACUGGAAUUCCUGGUGUAGCGGUGAAAUGCGCAGAUAUCAGGAGGAACACCAGCGGCGAAGGCGGCGCUCUGGGCUGGAACUGACGCUGAGGAGCGAAAGCGUGGGGAGCGAACAGG